UUUCCAGAACUGGAAGUAAGCAGGAUCUGUGACGUCGUUGAGGGAAACAAACCAACCACCCCGUUCACUGAGAUUAUACAGCACAUGGUACCUGAAUUGAUUUAAUAAAAAAAUACCCAGUGAACUGAUAGUAGAAAUUUGUUUACAGAGAUCGUCAAGAAAAGCGCAAAAGAACAUGUAAAUAUUUGUGAGGGACCAAGCUGGAACUGGAAGGACUCACGUUAGCUAACUUUGUGUAACUUGCUGAGUGCGUGCUACUAACGUUGCUAUUUCAAAACUUCAACUAGUUGUGUGCUAUUUAAUCGGGUAAAAAUGCUAGCUAACUGUUGUAUUUGAUGAAGUGGUUUUUGUUGCCUGAGUAAAUUAAACGCCGGUGAAACUAAAGCUUGAAAAUGGACAAUGGCGUGAUUGAUCACCAAUCCCACGGUAUCGGUGCGUUUGACCUGUACCAUCAUUUCGUUCGAGGGGAAUAAACGAUACAAUAGGGGAAACACCAUCGCCAAAUUCAAGGGUAAAUUGGAGAUGGUUGUGGGUACCCCGGCCUCCAUUAUGGAACUACAGCUUUUCUUCAACACCACCGACAAGUUCAGAAGCUGGACGACAACCAGGCCCUGCUAGGUUCUUACCCUGUGCAUGAUGACUGCAAAAUGAAUGUACUUACUUCUGUGUUCUGAAACACUGCUCACAUGACACCCACAGGGUAUGUCCCCUGUUUAGUAUUGUUCACACUGGAGUAAGUUGGGAUCUACUGUUGAAUCUGUCUCUUAACCCAGGGGUUCCCAAACUUUUUCACUCUGGGCUCCCUUUCCAACAUUGGGGAACAUCCUGCGCACGCCACGCCUAUUUCUAUGGGCACAAGUGCGGUUCAUGGCACACUGUUCACACCCCUCUUAUUGGUGGAAAGAAUUUUGCAGGUGAAGCUUAUUUCCUGCUAUUUUACACAUUUUGUCAUAUGGUGCAAAUAAUAAUUUGCUGUUUUUCUUUUGCAAUUCUAUACAUUUUGCCACGUCUGUAUUUGAGUGACAAAAAAAAUAUCCAUCGACUCUUUUGCGGCACAGUCGAUGGCGUGCCGGACCUCGGGCUAGAAGGUCGAGGGUCUGAGACCUGCUCCCUGCUGUUUCAUUACAGUAUAGUAGAUUUCAAGCCAGGUCAUUGGAUGGGAGUGAAGUAUAACGAGCCUCUUGGGAAACAUGACGGGCAGUGUGAAGGAGAAGUGAUACUUUGAAUGUGAGAACAAGUACGUUGCCUUUGUCAGGCCCCGCACAAAGACCGUGGGGCACUUCCCAGAGGAAGACUUUCACCUGGACGAGAUGUAGGACUGUGAUGCUGUCACCCUGUCAAGGGGUGUGGGCAGAUGGGUUCAACAUAGACCUCCAGUCUGAUUACGAACCCGGGGCGAGGGACAGUGUCAUUGCGAUUAAUAACUUUAUUUUGUUAUGUGCUGGCCAGGGAGGUAUGGGUUGGACUAUAGAGAGCUGCAACUGGGGAAGGAGGCAGUAUCACCUAGGACCGACUCUAGCAUAUGACAUCUCUUGUGGCACAGCGGUCUAAAGGCACUGCAUCUCCGUGCUAGAGACGUCAUGACAGACGCCCCUAGCAACAAAAAAAAUAAAAGUGGAAUUUACUGUAUAUUGAAUGAGGAGAGAUAAGAAAAGCACAAUGUUUUUGCAUUGUUACAAAUACGUUGUUGCUGUAUUUAAUGUAAUGUCCUUUUAUUCGGUGGAUGUAGAAAGCAAGCGUUUCUAAAAUUGAUGUCCUCAGAAUUUUGAAUUGAACCUGAAUUGCCCGUCACAUCCUAGAUUCUAUAUGAAUAGGCAGUCAUAAAAAUCACAACAAUGUUCAUCAAAUGUCAAUUAUCAUCCCAAGCCAGGGUUCUAUCAAACUUCCUAAAAUAAAUCCCAUGCUUUUGAAUGCAAGAAUUCAAGCAACAACAACAUAUCUAUUUGUACUACUGACCAGUGGCAAAAUGUUCAGUUUAUUUGAAUAUCUGUUAGUUCAUUGGUUAUUGUACCAUAGAAGCUGUUUGUUUUUGUGUGUCGUGUCCCUGUUUUAGAUUCUGGAAACUUACACUGCUUCUAACACCUUAACACAACCACAAGGCUCUCCAGAGGAUUGUGCGGUCUGUACAACGCAUCACUUGGGGCAAACUACCUGCCCUCCAGGACACCUACAGCACCCAAUGUCACAGGAAGGCCAAAAAGAUAAUCAAGGACAACAACCACCCGAGCCACUGCCUGUUCACCCCGCUACCUUCCAGAAGGCAAGGUCAGUACAGGUGCAUCAGCUGGGACCGACUGGGGAAAAACAGCUAUCUCAAGGCCAUCACAGACUGUUAAACAACCAACACAGAGAGGCUGCUGCCUACAUACAGACUUGAAAUCAUUGGCCACUUUAAUAAUGUUUAUAUCUUACAUACUCUUCUCAUAUGUAUAUACUGUAUUUUAUACAAUGUAUUGCAUCUUGCCUAUGCCGUGUGGUCAUUGCUCAUCCAUAUAUUUAUACGUACAUAUUCUUAUUCCAUCCCUUUAGAUUUGUGUGUAUUAGGUAAUUAUUUUGGAUUUGUUAUAUAUUACUGCAUUGUCGGAACUAGAAGCAUUUCGCUACACUCGUAUUAACAUCUGCUAACCAUGUGUAUGUGACCAAUAAGAUUUGAUUAGAAUGUCGAAACAUCAGUUGUGCACUUUUUUUUUUUUUUUACCUUUAUUUUACUAGGCAAGUCAGUUAAGAACAAAUUCUUAUUUUCAAUGACGGCCUAGGAACAGUGGGUUAACUGCCUGUUCAGGGGCAGAACGACAGAUUUUUGUACCUUGUCAGCUCGGGGAUCUGAACUUGCAACCUUUCGGUUACUAGUCCAAUGCUCUAACCACUAGGCUACCCUGCCGCCCCAUUGACAGCAUACAGUUCAAACCGGCUGCCCAGGUGGUGACAAUGCACUUUUCAUGUAGAUAUCACGUCUUGUCUGAGCUUCAUUGUACUAAUCCUCAUCGCCACUUCUAACAGUUUGACUCAUGAACGCAUGUGAUCUGUCAUUUGUUGUGUCACUCCUGGUUGAGUGAGUUUCGUAAGAGAGAAUGUGGAUACAAAAGCAAUUGAAUCAUAUGUUCCUUUUUUUUAUUGAAUUGUAUUUUUCCCAAGAUGUUGUCAGCAACUAACAUGCCCAGAGUUGUACAAGAUUUGCCAUCUGUUUUUAUGAAAUCUCAAAGGUGUUGAUGUGCCAAAGUGUAAUGGUAUCUUAUGCAUAAUAAACGUAGUAUUACCAGCA